UACGUAUGGGGCAAGCGUUAUCCGGAUUUACUGGGUGUAAAGGGAGCGUAGGCGGCCUGGCAAGCCUGAUGUGAAAUACCGGGGCCCAACCCCGGGGCUGCAUUGGGAACUGCCAGGCUGGAGUGCCGGAGAGGCAGGCGGAAUUCCUAGUGUAGCGGUGAAAUGCGUAGAUAUUAGGAGGAACACCGGUGGCGAAGGCGGCCUGCUGGACUGCAACUGACGUUGAGGCCCGAAAGCGUGGGGAGCAAACAGG
rnacentral:rRNA from 1 species